rnacentral:rRNA from 1 species
CCCUUAGACGUCCUGGGCCGCACGCGCGCUACACUGACGAAGGCAACGAGCUUUCCUUUACCGAAAGGUACGGGUAAUCUUUUGAAACUUCGUCGUGCUGGGGAUAGAUCCUUGCAAUUAUUGAUCUUAAACGAGGAAUUCCUAGUAAGCGCAAGUCAUCAACUUGCGUUGAUUACGUCCCUGCCCUUUGUACACACCGCCCGUCGCUACUACCGAUUGAAUGGUUUAGUGAGGCCUUCGGAUCCGCGACUCGUUUUGUGGAGAAGUUGGACAAACUCAGUCAUUUAGAGGAAGUAAAAGUCGUAACA